AUGGCGUGCAGACGGCCUUUUGCUAGAAUCACCUGCGGACUCGAGGCUGUUCACGUCGACCCAAUCAAGCUUCAAGCCCCAAGAGAGACGGAGAUAGAGAGGGCGGUGGCAGGUGGCUUGGAGCGCGGCGGAAACUUCCAUUUCCGCGCACCGGUUAGUGCCGUGUACGUUCAAGAUAUGUGGAACGAUGGCAACUACUCUUUCUGUCCGAUUCUGUCACAUAAAGAAGCCAAGUAACUGCUUGGCUAUAGCAGACAGUGCAGCACAAUUUCAGGAAGAUUAAUUUGGUGCAUAACAGGGAAGAAUUCAUUGAUAUCAUCUUUUCUCAUGCACGGCGCAAACACCUACAGUUGUUUGCACAACAGAAUUUUCAUAAGAAGCUCUCAAGUUAUUCGCAAUUCACGAUUUGAAGGAACGGCGAAAAAAAUCUGCAUCAAGUUCUUCAUACGUCAUUACGACCGCUAAUGUGCUUGCUUUUUUGUACAUUACAUGUCAUAACUAUCCAGAAGAAUUUUUAUUUUGUAUUAUAGAAAAGGUUCUUCUCUCUCAUUAGUAGAGGAACUCCUUCCUGGCCAAUUCAGAGAAGCAUAUUGAUUGUAAUGCGCCGUAUUACUUCUUUUCUUUUGUUUGGCAAAUACUAUCAGAAUGUUCCAUAGCUACACUAUGCUUCUUCAAGCCGCUCAAGGCUAAGUAAAAAAAUUCUAUGGUCUCCUUCUGUUCUUGCAUUUUUGAGUCUGCAUUUUUCAUCUGGGUGUUGGUUUCUUAAGCAGGAGGUCACAAAACUGAAGUGCUAUCUAGGUAUAGAAAAGAGGGCAGCAAAUUCAGUUUCUCAAUCGAGGGGUCUGGCUUCUGUUGAACAUCACGUCCUUGAGUCUAGGAUUUUUAUUUCAGAAAUUAUCUUGUCAUGAUCGGCGAUUUCUUGUUAACAGGAUAAUGCAUCAUGGAUGAUUACUCUUCAGACCAGACCAAGUCACAUCUCCAUUGGACGAGGAAAAGCUAUUAUUGAGCCUUGCUUGGAUUUCUUCAGUCCGAGUACGGUGAGGAGCAUUCCGAGGUAAUCGAAAAGAUACACUGAGCGAAACAGCUGCAGUUUGUGGUCAUUCCAAGGGGGGAAUCUGAACCAGAAGUCAACCAGAAAGCUUCUUCUCAACACUGCCUUGUGGUGGCUGAAUGUAUCGAAUGAGAACUUCCCAUGGUAAUUGCCCAUGCCGCUCUCGCCAAUACCUCCGAACGGUAGUGUAUCAGCCAUAUACUGCAGAUUCGACACAGAUUGGGCCAUUCGAGCAAAAGAAAGAUUAAAGCAAAGGUCAAUGGAUCUUGAAGUUAUUGAACAAUGACGUUACUUGAAUCAUUGCAUCAUUGAAUGUCACGCUUCCCGAUGAUGUUUCCGCUACCAUCCUUUUCCUGAGCGAGCCGUUAUGAGUAAAGACAUAAAGCGCGAGAGGUUUAGGCCUUGAAUUUAUGAAGUUGAUGCUGUCCUCGAUCUUCUUCAACUGUCAAGACAGGCCGGUUGAUUGCAACCUAUUUUAUGAGAAGCAAAGUCGCUACUAACCGAAGAAAUAUCAUUUAGAAGGGCAAUGUCCAAGGACAAAGGACUAUAAUGGAAGUACAUAUCUCAAGGAGAAUAUUUUUACCGUAAUGAUCGGGAGUAAGGGGCCGAAAAUCUCAUCUUGCAUGAGAUCCGAUUCGAGGGGGGGAUCAAGCAAGAUGGUCGGCUCAAUAAACCUGCAUGAAACAAAAGCGAGGGAAGGAUUGACUACAAGAGCACAGAAAACAUUCUUAGGCUCUUUCAAACGAGUCAAUAUGGACGGCAUACAAGCUUUUUUCGUC